CAGAGACCCGUAGGGAGCCACAUGGGAGGGAUGAACUUGAGAACUUAUAAAAUUAAAACAAAAGGCAGAAGACCUAGAGUCAAGUGCGGAUGAAGUCAGCAAAUGCUUGGUCCCUGCCCAGGGUGGCUCCCAGCAGGGUUUCUCAACAAAAGAUGAGAAAAGAGAUAAUAAAAUACAUGUCAAGAAUGAAAACACAGCAGCAAAUGUUCAAGCUUAUCUCUUAAGCACAGAGUGGAAUCUCAAGCAUUU
rnacentral:lncRNA from 1 species